rnacentral:rRNA from 1 species
UUAAAUUGAAGAGUUUGAUCAUGGCUCAGAUUGAACGCUGGCGGCAGGCCUAACACAUGCAAGUCGAAUGGUAACAGGAAACAGCUUGCUGUUUCGCUGACGAGUGGCGGACGGGUGAGUAAUGUCUGGGAAACUGCCUGAUGGAGGGGGAUAACUAC